GAAAGCCGUAUGCUUUGGAAGAAGCUUGUACAGUUUGGGAAGAUGUUUUUUUUUGAGAGAAAAGAAGAAUCUACUUCAAC
rfam:Oryza rufipogon genomic scaffold, chr09